rnacentral:piRNA from 1 species
UGUAACUGCUGGUUAGCAUCAAGGGCUUCAU